GAAGCGAACGUAUUCAAGAAGUAAUUUGCACCAAAACAAUACAAAGCUACAAGAGAAUGGAUAUCGAUAGGAAUCAUUACAAACCGAGUGUCGAGACUUCGACGUCUUAGAAAAUGAACAAACAAAAUAGAGAAUGUAACAAGCGAAUAAAAAAAUAUUCGGGAAGUAACUUGCACCAAAGCAGGACAAGAACAUCUCGGAAACAAACGGUAGUGCUGAACGCUCGUUUUCAUUAUUGAACCGAAUAAGAAAGUAUUCAAGAAAUAAUUUGUACCAAAAGCAAGACAGGAAAACUUAAUUGAUACGCAAAUAAAUGGCAAAUGCCGAAAAUAAACAAAAAAUGGGAUAGAAUACAAUACUAUUUAUUUGACACGCAGACGUUUUAUUGAGAGAGUGUUUGCUUGUACGAUUGUUCGAAUGUCGUAAAGUAAUAUUAGGUGAAGACAUGCUCUGGUAGGCCAAUCGUCGAAAACGUUGAUAAAAUCAUGGAAAUCGUCGAGUCAGACCGACAUGCGAGCACUUAUUCUAUUGCCUAGGAACUAAAGCGUAACGAAAUCAACCCAUUUUUUAAGAGGAUGGUGACAGGGGAUAAAAAAUGGGUCACAUACGAGAACAACACGCGAAGAAGAUCGUGG